UACGAAGGGUGCAAGCGUUACUCGGAAUUACUGGGCGUAAAGCGUGCGUAGGUGGUUCGUUAAGUCUGAUGUGAAAGCCCUGGGCUCAACCUGGGAAUUGCAUUGGAUACUGGCGGGCUAGAGUGCGGUAGAGGAUGGCGGAAUUCCCGGUGUAGCAGUGAAAUGCGUAGAUAUCGGGAGGAACAUCUGUGGCGAAGGCGGCCAUCUGGACCAGCACUGACACUGAGGCACGAAAGCGUGGGGAGCAAACACG
rnacentral:rRNA from 1 species